rnacentral:ncRNA from 1 species
AAUGAUAAUUUGGCUACCUUAAAGUAAGAGUAAAUCUCUUAUAAAAGAAAAGGAAAUCAAAAUUCUGCUUUAAGAUGUUAAUCUUUAUCUCGGUGAAGUAGUAGAAGAGGUAAUGUCUUUUUCUAGCUAACACUCGUAGUCGUGACUGAGAGGUCGAUCGACCACAUUGGGUCUGAAAAAACCCCAAUGCGUAUUAGUACAGCAGUGAGGGAUAUUGGUCAAUGGUCUAACGACUGAACCAGUAACUUGGAAGAAUGUAUGUAUUAUAAUUAAUACAAUAACGAUUAAUUCGUAUAAAAUUCUAAAUAGGAUAAUGAUAAUGACAAUUUCCUAUUUAUAAGUCUUGACCAAAUUACGUGCCAGCAGUCGCGGUAAUACGUAGAAGACUAGUGUUAGUCAUCUUUAUUAGGUUUAAAGGGUACCUAGACGGUAAAUAACACUUAAAUAGAGUAUUUAUUUACUAGAGUUUUAUAAGAGAAGGAAGAACUUCUGGAGUAGUGAUAAAAUAUGUUGAUACCAGAGGGACUGGUAACGGCGAAGGCAUCCUUCUAUGUAAAAACUGACGUUGAGGGACGAAGGCUUGGGUAGCAAUAAGGAUUAGAUACCCUAGUAGUCCAAGCAGAAAAUGAUGAAUGUCAUAGACUAGAUAAAAAUUUAGUCUAUAAAUGAAAGUGUAAGCAUUCCACCUCAAGAGUACUAUGGCAACAUAUAAACUGAAAUCAUUAGACCGUUUCUGAAACCAGUAGUGAAGUAUGUUAUUUAAUUCGAUAAUCCGCGAAUAACCUUACCACAAUUUGAAUAUAUUAAGUUAUUACAAGCGCUGCACGGCUGUCUUUAGUUAAUGUCGUGAGAUCUGGUUAACUCCUAAAAUUAACGAAAACCCUCAUUUUAUUUGUAUAUAUAAAGUGGUUCUCCAGUAUAGUGGAAAGAUAAAAGGGAUUAGACAGUCAUCAUGGCCUAAAUAUUGUGGGCUAUAGACGUG